rnacentral:misc_RNA from 1 species
AUAGGACCAAUGUCCUAAUGACAUGCGUUAUUAUCAAGUAGAGGUAAUCAAGUGAGCACAAAACUGUAUAAAACAUAACAAGACUGAACUGAAAAGAAAGCUAGAUCACUCGUGAGCAAUUGCCACUACUUGUUUCCCAACAUUGCGACCACUGAAAAUGCCUACCAGAGCAGCAGGAGCACUCUCAAUUCCUUCAGCAAUGUCUUCCACAUAAGUAAUCUUCCCUUCUCUAAUGUAAGGCACAACAAAGUCUAAGAACUUGGAAUACUGGCUGAAGUAAUCAAAAGCCACAAA